CCUACGGUGAGCAGCAGUGGGGAAUAUUUGGCCAUGGAGGCAACUCUUACCCAGCAAUGCCGCGUGAAUGAAGAAGGUCUUCGGAUCGUAAACCUCUGUCAGCAGGGAAGAACGGUCACUGUGCUAAUCAGCAGUGAAUUGACGGUACCUGCAAAGGAAGCACCGGCUAACUCCGUGCCAGCAGCCGCGGUAAUACGGAGGGUGCGAGCGUUAAUCGGAAUUACUGGGCGUAAAGCGCUCGUAGGCGGUAUGUCAAGUCAAGGGUGAAAUCCCCGCGCUCAACGUGGGAACUGCCUUUGAAACUGGCAAACUGGAGUGUGUGAGAGGAUAGUGGAAUUCCAGGUGUAGGAGUGAAAUCCGUAGAUAUCUGGAGGAACAUCAGUGGCGAAGGCGACUAUCUGGCACAUAACUGACGCUGAGGAGCGAAAGCGUGGGUAGCAAACAGGAUUAGAUACCCGUGUAGUC
rnacentral:rRNA from 1 species